AUGAACGCUGGCGGCGUGCCUAAUACAUGCAAGUCGAGCGAACAGACGAGGAGCUUGCUCCUCUGACGUUAGCGGCGGACGGGUGAGUAACACGUGGAUAACCUACCUAUAAGACUGGGAUAACUUCGGGAAACCGGAGCUAAUACCGGAUAAUACAUUGAACCGCAUGGUUCAAUAGUGAAAGACGGUUUUGCUGUCACUUAUAGAUGGAUCCGCGCCGCAUUAGCUAGUUGGUAAGGUAACGGCUUACCAAGGCAACGAUGCGUAGCCGACCUGAGAGGGUGAUCGGCCACACUGGAACUGAGACACGGUCCAGACUCCUACGGGAGGCAGCAGUAGGGAAUCUUCCGCAAAGGGCGAAAGCUUGACGGAGCAACGCCGCGUGAGUGAUGAAGGUCUUCGGAUCGUAAAACUCUGUUAUUAGGGAAGAACAAAUGUGUAAGUAACUAUGCACGUCUUGACGGUACCUAAUCAGAAAGCCACGGCUAACUACGUG
rnacentral:rRNA from 1 species